rnacentral:rRNA from 1 species
ACUGUCUCUUGUAGUUAACCAAUGAAACUGAUCUUGUAGUUCAAAAGCUACAAUAUAACCACCAGACGAGAAGACCCUGUGGAGCUUUAAACCAAAACCAAAUUAAUGACCCCCUGGUUUUUAGUUGGGGCAACUUCGGAGUACACAACAACCUCCGAUAAAAAAAGUUAAGACAGACAGGUCUAAACAACUUGCUCGACCCAAUACUCUACUUUAGAUUAUUUGACCAAUGAACCAAGUUACCCCAGGGAUAACAGCGCUAUCCCCUUUUAGAGUCCCUAUCGACAAGGGGGCUUACGACCUCGAUGUUGGAUCAGGACACCC